UACGUAGGUGGCAAGCGUUGUCCGGAUUUACUGGGCGUAAAGAGCGCGCAGGCGGUCGUUCAAGUCGCGUGUGAAAGCCCCCGGCUCAACUGGGGAGGGUCACGCGAUACUGAUCGACUCGAAGGCAGGAGAGGGUAGUGGAAUUCCCGGUGUAGUGGUGAAAUGCGUAGAUAUCGGGAGGAACACCAGUGGCGAAGGCGACUGCCUGGCCUGUUCUUGACGCUGAGGCGCGAAAGCUAGGGGAGCAAACGGG
rnacentral:rRNA from 1 species